rnacentral:rRNA from 1 species
GUAAAGCUCUUUCGACGAGUCGAGUUGUUUGGGAAUGCAGCUCAAAAUGGGUGGUAAAUUUCAUCUAAAGCUAAAUAUGGGCCAGAGACCGAUAGCGCACAAGUAGAGUGAUCGAAAGAUGAAAAGCACUUUGGAAAGAGAGUUAAACAGUACGUGAAAUUGUUGAAAGGGAAGCGCUUGCAACCAGACUUGGGCGUCGCUGAUCAUCCAAAGACUCUCUUUGGUGCACUCGACGACGCACAGGCCAGCAUCGGUUGGAGUGGUGGGAGAAAGGUUGCCGGAACGUGGCUCUUUUCGGAGAGUGUUAUAGCCGGCGACGCAAUACCGCCUACCCCGACCGAGGACCGCGCUUCGGCUAGGAUGCUGGCGUAAUGGUUGUAAGCGACCCGUCUUGAAACACGGACCAAGGAGUCUAACAUCUAUGCGAGUGUUUGGGUGUGAAAACCCAUGCGCGGAAUGAAAGUGAACGUAGGUGAGAACCCUUCGAGGGCGCAUCAUCGACCGAUCCUGAUGUCUUCGGAUGGAUUUGAGUAUGAGCAUAGCUGUUGGGACCCGAAAGAUGGUGAACUAUGCCUGAAUAGGGUGAAGCCAGAGGAAACUCUGGUGGAGGCUCGCAGCGGUUCUGACGUGCAAAUCGAUCGUCAAAUU